AGUGAAUAAAGGAAAUUUCUACCAUGUAAAAGAGACUCAAUGCAAAAAUAUGGACUGCAAAAAUUUCAUUCAUUAGACCUGUGAAACUUCCAUCUGUUGGCUCAGAGAUGCCUUGGUCAUUUAGUAUCCAGAUUGACUUCCUAUGUUGCCUCCUCAUCAACCCAGAGUUUGACUCUAGACUUCUGGGAGUGGUGUGCGUUUAUUAUCUAACUGACCUCCUAGACUUCCAUGACUUUGGAUUUCAUCAAAAUUCCAUAUCUGUGAAUUCAUAUAUCUGCUUGUCAACCAAUAUUAGUUUUCUAUUUCAUGGAAAAUCAAACAUGAAAAAGCCGAAUGAACUCAUUUUGGUGCCAUUCCAGUUGGCCAGGGCUACAAAGAUACUGUGUUAAAAACAAAACAAAA